GACGAACGCUGGCGGCGUGCUUAACACAUGCAAGUCGAACGAUGAAGCCGGAGCUUGCUCUGGUGAAUUAGUGGCGAACGGGUGAGUAACACGUGAGUAACCUGCCCUUGAAUCUGGGAUAACUGCGGGAAACUGUAGCUAAUACCGGAUACGACCCUCGGAGGCAUCUCCUGGGGGUGGAAAGAAUUUCGGUCAAGGAUGGACUCCCGGCCUAUCAGCUAGUUGGUGAGGUAAAGGGUCACGAAGGCGACGACGGUUAGCCGGCCUGAGAGGCUGACGGGCCACGCGGGGACUGAGACACGGCCCAGAGUCCUACGGGAGGCGGCAGUGGGGAAUAAUGCAGAAAGGGCGCAAGCCUGAUGCAGCAACGCCGCGUGAGGGAUGACGGCCUUCGGGUUGUAAACCUCGUUUAGCAGGGAAGAAGCGAAAGUGACGGUACCUGCAGAAAAAGCACCGGCUAACUACGUGCCAGCCGCCGCCGUAA
rnacentral:rRNA from 1 species